rnacentral:rRNA from 1 species
UGCGGUUAUACAAAAAUUAAAUUAAUUUUUUUUUAGGAUUUAAUAAAUAAGAGUUAAAUUAAUAAUUUAAAUUUUAAAUUAUAAGGUGAAAUUUUAAUUUAAUUAAAAUUUAUUUAUUUUUAUGAUAUUAAUAGAUUUUUUAAAAAACUAGGAUUAGAUACCCUAUUAUAAAAAUUUAAAUUUUAUAAUCUUAAAAUAGUAUAUAAUUUUUUAUAGAAACUUAAAUAAUUUGGCGGUAUUUUAGUUCAUUUAGAGGAAUCUGUCUAAUAAUUGAUAAUCCACGAUUAAAUUUACUUAAUUUUUAAUUUUGUAUAUCGUUGUUAAAAAAAUAUUUUUAAAUAAUUAUAAUAUUUUAAAAUUUAAAUAAAAAAUUAAAUCAGAUCAAGAUGCAGAUUAUAAUUAAGAAUAUGAUGGAUUACAAUAAAUUUUAUUUUAUUUGAAUAUUAAUUUGAAAUAAAUUAAUUGAAAUUGGAUUUAAAUGUAAUUUUAUUAAUUUUAAUAAAAUGAUUUAAAAUUAAAAUAUGUACAUAUUGCCCGUCGCUUUCAUUUAUAAAUUGAAAUAAGUCGUAACAAAGUAGAGGUACUGGAAAGUGUUUCUAGAAAGAU